rfam:Puccinia sorghi strain RO10H11247 Scaffold_15, whole genome shotgun sequence.
GCUCCCCUGGCGUAAUGGUAACGCGUUGGACUUCUACCGUUCCGGUGUGAUCCAAAGACUGCGGGUUCGAGCCCCGCGGGGAGUG